GCUCUCCCUCGCUGUCUUCGGCUUGCACCCCCGCGUUCCCCUCGCCAGCGUCACUGCGCGAUCUCGACUCCCCUGCCGUGUGUCCCCGUGUGUGCCUCCGCUGUGCCUCUCUCAGCGUUCCGCCGUGGGCCUUCGAAGAUGGCGUACCCGGUCGGUAUUAUUCUCUACGCGAUCCUCCAGUUCAUCGCGUUCCUCUUCGUGCUGGUCGGUACGCCGAUCGACAUGUUCCGUGGCACCACCAAGGACCUGUUCAACAUAUCACUGUGCAUAACCCUGUGGGGUUCAAAGUUCGAGUGCAAGACCAUCAUGUACGCCAUGCCCACCGACGACCAGUGGAAGUUUUGCCCGACCCGCCUCCAGCAUUUCCACAUAGCCGAGAUUUUGUCCAUCAUCUCCGUCUUCGUGUACGCCCUUGCGGCGCUGCUCGGCUUCAUUAUGCUGUGCUGCUGCUCUUUGCUCCGCUGGCUCUGCCUGGUGUUCAACAUCGCUGGCAUCAUCACGUUGGGCAUCACCUGGGGGUUCAUGGUGGUGGAAUACGGUAGGAAUGAGAGCAGGUUUUGCCCCCCUCUGCGGAAGGACUACAAGUUUGGGGUCGGCUUUGCUCUUUUCAUGGUGGCCUGGGUCCUGAAUCUCAUCGACAUUAUCUUCCUGAUGCUCCCGUGGCAAAUCGGAGAGUCCGGUAAGGGUGACGAACCGGAUGGGCAGGAGGAGGAGGAGGAGGAGGUGGGGUCUAAAAAAGCAACGGAGGAGUAGGAGGGAGAGUGCCGCAGGAAGUGACGGGCAAACGUGGCGGCAGCGCGGCAGCUCCACGGCGACGUCCUCGUGGAGGAGCCGGCGGAGCUGAUGCCGGCGGGAAAGACGGAGGGAGCGGAGGCUGCGGACGCUCGCCCCUGACUUUCGCCGGCAUCUCUCCCGCUCUCGCUCGCUGCCCUCUCGUGCGCGCGACCGCUUGCGGGCGUGUUCGCGGUUUCUCCCUCGCCUGCUUUCGUCUUCUCCUGCGUGUGUCCUUUGUGGAGCUUUCCGCCUCCCCCUUCGCUUCUGCCUUUUCGAUCUGCACAGCGAUCUGCGCGUUGUGGUGGGCAGCGCACCCUUGACGGCGACACGCCCAUCGAGGGCCCCCUCACGCACACCGCAUGGACUCCUCAAACGGAGAGGUGGAGGGAGGGGGUGUGCGAGGUGCCACAGGUGUGGUGGUGGCAGGGGCAGGAGCCAAGGAGGCUCACGUGUAGGCGCAGCGGGAAGACAGGAGGGCGGCGUCCGUGCGCCCAGCGGCGACACACAGGUGCAUACGCAACGCUAAAGCGAGGCGAUUGCAGCUCUGGCUCCUGAUCUUUCCUUGCGCCCCAUGCACGGCCUACGUGUGUGCGCGCACACCCGCGCGCGCGCAGGUGCGUAGGAGGGGGCACCCCCUUCUUCAGCGAAUGCCCCUUCGGCGUCGCCCCUCCCUUGCUGCGGCGACUCCCCGCGCCCCUCGCGCCCACACGGAGAAGGCGGCACCACGACAGGGAAGCCGUCGGGCGCACUCUCGGUCCUCCGCGGGCCAACGACGCGGUCGGGGUGCGUGCGUGUGCCUCAAUAUAUGCGAAGUCUUUGUUAUCUCUUUGCCUUCCGUGUGUCGUUUCUUUUUUUUCGCUUCGCUUGUUUGUUUGGUGGCCUCAUCACACCGCCGAGUCCUCCAGACGCGGGUGUAGAGAGUGUCCACACCGUAUUACGGCAUGCCGCGGCUUGAAGCGAGUGAGCGAGAGGCGUGGCAUAUGCAGGCAGAGCACAGGGUCUCAAAGGGCCCUGGCCUGCGGCUGGCCAACGCGACCUCCUUGACGUCGUCCGGCAUGCACCUUGGCCACCGCCUGUUGCCCACACGACUGACGUCGCCGCUUCCGCCCUCGAGCAGGAGCCUGGACGCGGCCCGCCUGGACCGAGGCAUGCCGUCCGCCCGGGUCUCCGUCUGGCGCCGCAAGCGCCGCACGUACCCGAGGAAGGGACGAGCAAGGGCAAGAUGAGCCGGUCAGACGCAGGGCCCCCGGUUGAACGGCAGGCAGUGCGCCCUUGGCGGCCAGGAUGUUGCCGUGGUGCAACAGAGGCGUGCGAGCUGUGGUUGAAUGCGUAUAUUUGUCGACGUGUUCGUGGUGGAGCGAGGCGUAGAGGGGUGCCUCGCUGCCACGGGCGGACACGCAAAACGUCAAUAGCACAUAACAGCAAAACAGAAAAGGGGGAAUGCACGCGCGCGCGCACGCACGCGGACGACAAUGCAGACGUCCUCGAUUUUGCUUGCUCCUCCGACGGCUCCGCAUGCCGGCUCCGCCUGGGACGCCACGGCGUGUGUGCGUGUGUGCGUGCGCCCUUCCCCUUUUCCUUUCUUCCCUCGCCUUGUCUUUUGUUCUGUACGGUGCCUUCCUCGAGCGUUUCUG
rnacentral:misc_RNA from 1 species